GCCAGUGCGGCGUAGUGGUUUAUGCGUUGGACUAGGACUCCGAGACCUGGGUUCGAAUCCCGCCUCAACCA